AGCCAGUGAGGACAUUAUUUGCUACUCUCGACCUCCGGGAAUGUGGACUACCCUUAUCACCAAGAUCGCUGAGGCC
rnacentral:snoRNA from 1 species